AUGGUUUGCUCCUGGUUCUUUGUGGCCAUGUUGGCCCCUAUGGCGCUGGCUCUGGUACAGUCCCCAGACGCACUGAUACGGCAAGGCCAGUCCAUGACUCUGAGCUGUUCCGACAUGAAAUCCUCCAGCACAGCUAUGUACUGGUACAAGCAGGCUUUGGGGAAGGACUCCAGGCUGAUCCUAGUGGCUUCUGGACUCAAAGGUGGCAAAUCGAAUGUUGAAGGCGAUCUCCAAAGCCGUUUCAAGAGCAGCGAGAUACAAGGAGGGCAGAUGACCCUCUUCAUAAACCAUGCCUUUCUCAAUGACUCUGGCACGUAUUACUGUGCUGAGGAUGAAUCACAGUGGCUAGGCUGCUGA